ACAGGCUUAACACAUGCAAGUCGAGGGGCAGCAUGGUCUUAGCUUGCUAAGGCCGAUGGCGACCGGCGCACGGGUGAGUAACACGUAUCCAACCUGCCGUCUACUCUUGGACAGCCUUCUGAAAGGAAGAUUAAUACAAGAUGGCAUCAUGAGUCCGCAUGUUCACAUGAUUAAAGGUAUUCCGGUAGACGAUGGGGAUGCGUUCCAUUAGAUAGUAGGCGGGGUAACGGCCCACCUAGUCUUCGAUGGAUAGGGGUUCUGAGAGGAAGGUCCCCCACAUUGGAACUGAGACACGGUCCAAACUCCUACGGGAGGCAGCAGUGAGGAAUAUUGGUCAAUGGGCGCAGGCCUGAACCAGCCAAGUAGCGUGAAGGAUGACUGCCCUAUGGGUUGUAAACUUCUUUUAUAAAGGAAUAAAGUCGGGUAUGGAUACCCGUUUGCAUGUACUUUAUGAAUAAGGAUCGGCUAACUCCGUGCCAGCAGCCGCGGUAAUACGGAGGAUCCGAGCGUUAUCCGGAUUUAUUGGGUUUAAAGGGAGCGUAGAUGGAUGUUUAAGUCAGUUGUGAAAGUUUGCGGCUCAACCGUAAAAUUGCAGUUGAUACUGGAUAUCUUGAGUGCAGUUGAGGCAGGCGGAAUUCGUGGUGUAGCGGUGAAAUGCUUAGAUAUCACGAAGAACUCCGAUUGCGAAGGCAGCCUGCUAAGCUGCAACUGACAUUGAGGCUCGAAAGUGUGGGUAUCAAACAGGAUUAGAUACCCUGGUAGUCCACACGGUAAACGAUGAAUACUCGCUGUUUGCGAUAUACGGCAAGCGGCCAAGCGAAAGCGUUAAGUAUUCCACCUGGGGAGUACGCCGGCAACGGUGAAACUCAAAGGAAUUGACGGGGGCCCGCACAAGCGGAGGAACAUGUGGUUUAAUUCGAUGAUACGCGAGGAACCUUACCCGGGCUUAAAUUGCAGAUGAAUUACGGUGAAAGCCGUAAGCCGCAAGGCAUCUGUGAAGGUGCUGCAUGGUUGUCGUCAGCUCGUGCCGUGAGGUGUCGGCUUAAGUGCCAUAACGAGCGCAACCCUUGUUGUCAGUUACUAACAGGUUCCGCUGAGGACUCUGACAAGACUGCCAUCGUAAGAUGUGAGGAAGGUGGGGAUGACGUCAAAUCAGCACGGCCCUUACGUCCGGGGCUACACACGUGUUACAAUGGGGGGUACAGAGGGCCGCUACCACGCGAGUGGAUGCCAAUCCCAAAAACCUCUCUCAGUUCGGACUGGAGUCUGCAACCCGACUCCACGAAGCUGGAUUCGCUAGUAAUCGCGCAUCAGCCACGGCGCGGUGAAUACGUUCCCGGGCCUUGUACACACCGCCCGUCAAGCCAUGGGAGCCGGGGGUACCUGAAGUGCGUAACCGCGAGGAGCGCCCUAGGGUAAAACUGGUGACUGGGGCUAAGUA
rnacentral:rRNA from 1 species